UGGGGAAUAUUGCACAAUGGGCGCAAGCCUGAUGCAGCGACGCCGCGUGAGGGAUGGAGGCCUUCGGGUUGUAAACCUCUUUCGCCAGUGAAGCAGGCCAUCUUCUUUGUGGGGUGGUUGACGGUAGCUGGAUAAGAAGCGCCGGCUAACUACUUGCCAGCAGCCGCGGUAAUACGUAGGGCGCGAGCGUUUGCCGGAAUUAUUGGGCGUAAAGAGCUCGUAGGCGGCUGGUCGCGUCUGUCGUGAAAUCCCCUGGCUUAACUGGGGGCUUGCGGUGGGUACGGGCCGGCUGGAGUGCGGUAGGGGAGACUGGAAUUCCUGGUGUAGCGGUGGAAUGCGCGGAUAUCAGGAGGAACACCGGUGGCGAAGGCGGGUCUCUGGGCCGUUACUGACGCUGAGGAGCGAAAGCGUGGGGAGCGAACAGG
rnacentral:rRNA from 1 species